rnacentral:lncRNA from 1 species
ACAUAUUCUCGCCCGCGGCGCGCCCAGUGCGCCGGGAAUCUCACGGCCGGCCUGCCGGCGGCAUCGUGUAAAUUCGGAGCUAUCCGUCCGAAUCACAUGUCCCUGCGUUACAUCCAUCUGCUCCAUCAAUCGGGCAGUCAGCUCGGCUCGGCCGAUCGAUCGAUCAGAUCGGCCAUGCCGUUGCCGUGCCUGCCUACAUUGCCGUUGAUCUGGUCCAGCAGAGGCGGAGUGCCUUCUGGUUCUGGAUAAGGAAUGGAUUCCAUUCUCUCCUAGCUAGACAUCUUGCGGAUGCAUGGAUCGUCGAUGUGAUGGCAAAGCUGCCCUACAAGUGGUGCGUUACUAGUGGAAAAUUAGUCACUUAGUCGUGUGACACCUAUCGUUUUGUUGCCACAUAUUCGAAGCAAUUUGGAAAUGGGUGCGAUGAUCUGUUCGUCCGCAUCUUGUUAUCUGCUUCACAUCGAAUCAACUGCUCUCAUGCAAGUGGUUACCUAGUCUGCAGGAUUUUCAAGAUGUCUGAAUAUAAGAAUAAGCAUUACUACUAUCUCGCACAUAUUCCCAGCAUAAUUGACACCGCAUCCACUGGGUGGAGAAAAAUCACAUCUUG